CAAAACGAAACCCAGUACUCCACCUUACUCGCUCAAACUAGUAAAACCACUUAUUGAAAAACAUCCACAACAAACUCAACAUGUAAUUCUCUCAGCGCCAGUGUGUAAAACGCAGGACGACAGCUUCACAGAGGCAGAGAAAUGCACGUUCCCCUCAUCCUCACUGCCCUCACGCUGGGGCCAGUAUCUGCGGCAGCAUGCGAAGGUCCCGACACCGAGUAUCGGCUCCAGGAGUUCUCAGCCCGGGAAUGUUACGAAAUAAAUGGCAGAAAGGAACCACUGUGCACGCUUGACCGUUCAUCAGAGCACUGCGCCAUCUCGUCCACACACGUCAAGUGGUGCUCCAGCGUUCAGCUGCUCUGCUUGCACCGUGUUCCCACAGAAGUGAUGGAAGGUGCCCCAGCCAGGGAUCAAGAGAGUAUAUCCUUUGAGAAGGAGUUUAAUGCCACCCAACCAGGAAAAGAAUCGAAAUUCAGAUCAAAGAAGUGGCUCAUAUUUGCGAUCACUGCUGCGUCGGCUGUUUUUGUGGCAGUGUUCUGGAAGAUAAAGGAAAUUAAGAAUUGUCUGGACAGGAAAAACCACAGGCCAGUGAGGAAGGAAGAGUAUGGCUCGGACCAGGCCGGGCCGGAGUGAAGGGCAGGGCAGAGGACAGGACCAUCAGGAACACAGCAGCCCGUCUAGACCAGAACUACGAGACGCCCAGCUCCUCCAGUCCACUCCACCACAGACCCCUGUUGACAUACUCUUCUCAGCUACUGGACUGAUGAGUUAUCACACCACAUGGGGAACCGGCAAAGCACAAGUUCAUUCUACAGCCACUCUUUCUGUCUUUCUCCUCUAAAACGCUAACAUUAACUUGCAUGAUUUUAUAUCUGUAGCUCAUAGGCAGAUAUGACUUCCAAAUACAAACUAAAAAUCUAGAAGAGUAUAACAGUAAGUAAAGUACGCAGACUUUUUGAAUACUCGUGUUACAAGCCAGGACCUGGGAAGGAAAAGCCCAGUCUUACAGUCGCGCCUGAGAGCGCAAGGGCGCCCUCUUGUGGCAGGAAUCACGACUGCCAGCGCGGCCCAGCGACCUACAUCCUGACUGCAAACCCAUCAAGACAAAAACCAAGACCGCUUCUGUCGUGGGCUUCCAAUAAACCUAAAAUAAUCAAUCGGUUACAAUCGGGAUUCCUACGAAGUGAAUGACAGAAAAUCUGUUUUCUGCUGCGACGUAUUUUCGUAUUUUUUUUAAAUAAAAAAGGACGAUCCUGAGCCAGUUAAGACACUAGGUGUAACACCUGAAAACUAACAGACCAGUACGAAGUACGAAAAAUGUUAGUGGGUCAAUAUUGAUAUAACUGUCAAUAUUUGUUAAAUAUUGUAUAGUAAGUCUGGUUUAUGCGGCUGUAAAGUGAGGUCGGUGUCGUUCAUUAGAAACCCUACCCCCCCAGUACAAGGGUGGAGUGGUGUGACGCUACUGUAAUUAACCGCGGUGAGCUGACCCCCUGAACUGGACACAGCCGCCUUAGGACAACAGUUACAGAAAGAUAAGGCGACAACUGCUAUUUAAUUAAACUUCACGACAUUAUUUUAAAGAAUCAUUUGACUGCACUUACAUUCCGUGUGAUAGCUCAGAGUAAGGAAUGCCGUCUCCGGUGUGGGUGGGGCCGUGUGAGCCGGCGCGUUGCCGUGGACGCCGAUCGAUGAUGCGGCGCCGAUUUUGCCCUGCACACCUGAAGAAGGCUCCACGGCCGAAACGUUGUGUUUUCUUUCUUCUUUUUUUUCAGCAGGGAAUAAACCUAUUACUUGUUCCUUUGCAAGCCUACGCAUGCUGACGCAGCUCCCCACCUGAACUACUAAAUAUUGUACAUACGUUAGCUGUAAUACAGCUACUAAUAAACAGCUUCAUUACCUUCAUUCCUGCUGUGAAUGGUAUUAGCCACUAGAGGGCCCUGUUGUGUAAAGUCUGUGCCAGUUUGGGGGAUAUUUUUUUAGUGGCAGCAGUGGAAGUUUGUGAGCUUCAUCUGUUCAAUAAAAGAUUGCAUAAUUAUAUCCCCAGCGUGGCACCAAUUCAAAGGCAUCUCACAUUAAUCUCCAUUUAUACAGUAGGGAAUUUUUCUGGAGCCAGACCAGUUCAGUUUAUUGUCAUAUGCACAAGUGCAAUGAAAUGCGUAUUUGCAUGUAUGCGCCAAUCCAA
ensembl:lincRNA